CUUAAUUUUAAUGCACAGUUUGUAAACGUGUUAUAAAUAAAUUGAACUGUUCAUGUCUGGACAGGGAUAUACCUACUUAAUUAAUCCACGUCGAUCACUAAAGAAAGAGUUAAUGUGAAUUAAAUUAUUGUUGAGAAUUAAUUCGGAAAUGCAUUCAUUUGAGAGAUGCUUUUGUAUCGAUCUGACUGCACGGGAUGAUACAGCCUUUAGAGCGGAGGAUGUCGCCCUAACCUGGCAACUUGGAUUGAAAGAUCGAGUACCACUCUCUCCUCUUCUUUCCAUCUCCUCUAGUUCAGCCAACUGGACGGUCGCUAUUGUUUCACAACCCCAGGAGUAACAUGGAGGUCGGCCACAAGGUGUCGCUCCUGGAAAGGAAGUAGGUCGCCGAUCGAUCACCAGCCAAGUUCAGAGAGGAGAGAGGGGACAUGUGAUUCAUCUAUCAAAUCCACGUUUCAAUCAGCAGGAAUACAAAUAAAAAUAUUGAACCACGUUAGACAUUGGUAAGAAUUUCGGUCAUAAGUCUCAACCAAUAAAUAUUUUUUUACAUAAUGCUGAUUUUGAAAUGACUUUUGAAUGUAUAAUACACGUGCAUGUUAUAAACCGGUUUCACUUGAAUUUAA